GAUGAAGAACGUAGCGAAAUGCGAUAAGUAAUGUGAAUUGCAGAAUUCAGUGAAUCAUCGAAUCUUUGAACGCACCUUGCGCUCCUUGGUAUUCCGAGGAGCAUGCCUGUUUGAGUGUCAUUAAAUUCUCAACCUCACCAGUUUUGUAACGAAACUGUGUAAGGCUUGGAUGUGGGGGUUUGUGCUGGCUGCCUCUCGGCGGUCUGCUCCCCUGAAAUGCAUUAGCGAGUUCACUAAGCUCCGUCUAUUGGUGUGAUAAUUAUCUACGCCGUGGAAUGGGUUUAGACUUGCUUCUAACCGUCUGCAAAGACAACUUUUGACAAUUUGACCUCAAAUCAGGUAGGACUACCCGCUGAACUUAAGCAUAUCAAUAAAGCGGAGGA
rnacentral:misc_RNA from 1 species